rnacentral:lncRNA from 1 species
AUGUCUCUGUGCCGCAUCCCAGCUCAAUAUCCCCAUGCCGUGUCCCAGCUCCAUCCUCCCAUGCCCUAUUCCAGCUCCACCACCCCAUGUCCCACCCCAGCUCCAUGUCCCCAUGUCCCACCGCAGCUCCAUGUCCCCACGCCACAUCCCCGCUCCAGUUUCACACCCCGACUCCAGGUCCCAGCCCCACAUCCCCACACCGCGACCCCACGAAGGACCAGCACGAGGACGGCCACGCUGCGCGUCUCUCCCCACGCUACUGGUCCCACGGGAGAGCCUCGAGGGGGGGGAGCGGGGCCGUUCCCGAGGCCACCACAGGACACGCCUGGCCGCCUCGCGCGUGGGAGCCCCCGGCUGAGGUCUCAGCGUGCUCCCGCAUCCCCCCCGCCGCGCGUCCCCGCCGCGCGUCCCCGCGUCCCCGCGUGCCCGUGGCUGCCAGGCGCCGGCGGAGCGCUGCCGCCUCCCGGCCCCUCUCCAGCCGCCCUCCGCCGCCGCUCCCGGUGCCGCCGCUGCUGCGGGGCCGCUGCGGCUGCGGCCGCCGGAGGUAGCGAUGAUGCGGGGCGGGGGCGAUGCGGGGCGGCGGCGGCCAUGGCGGGGAGGGAGAGCGGCGAGCACCGGGGGGCGGCGGGCACCGGGGGUACCGCGCACACGGGAGGGGCACCGCGCAGCGGGGGGACCGAGCAGCGGGGAUGUUAUGGCUGGGAUUGCGGUGCCGGGGGGGCACCGAGCGGCGGGGGGGGUCCGCGCUGGGGGCUGUCGUGGAGUGGGAAUAUCGUGCGGCGGGGUUAUGGUGCGCUGGGGGCACCGGGGGAUGGGCCCGGCUUCGCAUGCCGCUCGAUGGACCGGGGACCGAGGUGGGGAGCGGAGCGGGGAGGGGGUGGUACUGGGUCUCGUCCCCGGGGGGUGUCCCCGAGGUUUGGGCCCCUCCGGUUGCUGCGGUGCUGGGGGUGCCGGGUGAGUGUAAGGAUGCACACGCAGAUGUGCGUGUCUGCUUGUGUGUGUGUGUGUGUACAACUGUUUGUUGUCACGCUGCUGUGGGGCCCUACGUCUGUAUGUCUGUUUGUCCGUCCGUCUGUCUGCGCAGGUCCCCGUUGCUGUUUGUGUCCCCUGUGCCAGCGCAUGGCUCUGUGUCCGUCUGUCUGCCUGUGGCUCGCUGUCAAUGCAGCUGAACCCUUUCCACCCCUUGCACAGGGCCCACGGGGCUGUGUUGGUGGGCAAGGAGCUGCCUGGGGGGUUGUGGGGGGCUCAGGACACACUGUCCAUGCUGACCCCAUCCCGAUGCCUGCAGUGCAGAUCAUAAAUCAACGCCGGAUGAGCAGGAGGGCCGCGGGUUCCCGGGCGCACAGCCGGCUGCUGUGGGGCUUCUCGGGUUUUUGA